rnacentral:misc_RNA from 1 species
AAGUCGUAACAAGGUUUCCGUAGGUGAACCUGCGGAAGGAUCAUUAUUGAAUUAUGUUUCUAGAUGGGUUGUAGCUGGCUCUUUGGAGCAUGUGCACGCCUGUUUGGAUUUCAUUUUCAUCCACCUGUGCACCUAUUGUAGUCUUUGGUUUGGGUAUUGAGGAAGUGGUCAGCCUAUCAGCAUUUGCUGGAUAUGAGGAGUUUGCAAUGUGAAAGCAUUGCUGUCCUUUACUUGGCCAUGGAGUCUGCCUGCCCCAGAGUCUAUGUCAUUCAUUAUACCCUGUCGAAUGUUAUCGAAUGUCUUUACAUGGGCUUUCAUGCCUAUGAAAAUUAUAAUACAACUUUCAGCAACGGAUCUCUUGGCUCUC